ACGCACGCUGGCGGCGUGCUUAACACCUGCAAGUCGAACGGAAAGGCCUGCUUUCCCUUGUGGAUUGCGGGUACUCGAGUGGCGAACGGGUGAGUAACACGUGAGUGAUCUGCCCCCAACUUGGGUAUAAGCCUGGGAAACUGGGUCUAAUUCCCGAUAGGACUGCAGGGUGGUGCCUGUGGUGGAAAACGAUUUUCUAGUGGUUGGGGAUGAGCUCGCGGCCUAUCAGCUUGUUGGUGGGGUAAUGGCCUACCAAGGCGGCGACGGGUAGCCGGCCUGAGAGGGUGGACGGCCACAUUGGGACUGAGAUACGGCCCAGACUCCUACGGGAGGCAGCAGUGGGGAAUAUUGCACAAUGGGCGGAAGCCUGAUGCAGCGACGCCGCGUGGGGGAUGACGGCCUUCGGGUGGUAAACUCCUUUCGACCGCGAGGAAGCCACCUGGUUGGAAGGGUGGUGACGGUAGUGGCAGAAGAAGCACCGGCUAACUACGUG
rnacentral:rRNA from 1 species